rnacentral:rRNA from 1 species
UGAACGCUAGCUACAGGCUUAACACAUGCAAGUCGAGGGGGCAGCAUCAUCAAAGCUUGCUUUUUCUAGGCGUCGACCGGCGCACGGGGUGAGUAACGCGUAUCCAACCUGCCCAUCACUUGGGGAUAACCUUGCGAAGUAAGACUAAUACCCAAUGAUAUCUCUAGAAGACAUCUGAAAGAGAUUUAAAGAUUUAUCGGUGAUGGAUGGGGAUGCGUCUGAUUAGCUUGUUGGCGGGGUAACGGCCCACCAAGGCGACGAUCAGUAGGGGUUCUGAGAGGAAGGUCCCCCACAUUGGAACUGAGACACGGUCCAAACUCCUACGGGAGGCAGCAGUGAGGAAUAUUGGUCAAUGGACGAGAGUCUGAACCAGCCAAGUAGCGUGCAGGAUGACGGCCCUAUGGGUUGUAAACUGCUUUUAUAAGGGAAUAAAGUGAGUCUCGUGAGGCUUUUUGCAUGUACCUUAUGAAUAAGGACCGGCUAAUUCCGUG